GCACGCAGAUCGCCCUUUAAGCCCUUGGCCGAC
rnacentral:sRNA from 1 species